ensembl:lncRNA
AUUAGCACCCACAUUUUAAUAAGCAUUCCAAUCAUUGUGUAGAACCACAUUUGCCACCCUACCCACUUAAAAAGCAGGUCACAAUUAAUCUUCACUUGCUGAAGUUUUCUUCUGUAUAUGGCAUUUCACACUGAACAAUUAACUUAAAAUUACUGGUGCAUGAUUAUUCCAUUAGGAGAUCAUUAUUUUCUGAAGUAGUUGUGCAGUUUCCUUCGAAACUGCAGGAGAAAACUUCUGUUUUUCUGUUGGAGGAAAAGACUUAAAGAAAAAUGACAGCAUUCAAGAUUUCUUGCCACUGCUAGACUGAAAAUCGGCAGGAUAUGUGUGGAACCCCUGAGAUGAGGAGCUACUUUCUGUGGGAGCUGCAGCAUGGCUCAGAUACAGCAAGCUGCUGAUUUAGCUCUUUGAAGACUGGGAUUUGAGUAGAAUGGAAUAGCUGGAAAGGGACCUUCAAAGAUUGUCCAGUCCCACUGCCUGACCACUUCAGCUGGUGCAGCAUAGCCACAGUAACAAGAAAGUCAAUGGUUCUGUUUAAAAAUGAUUUUUAUUUUUGAGGAGGCUAUAGGUCAUCCAGGCAUCUGGAUAUGCAACCCCAGCUUUGGAAGAGCUACUGCUAGAUGAGGACGAUACUUUUGGAAGUUUCUGGAUGUUUAGCCUUCUUGAAAAUCUGCCACUCUAUACA